AUUGAACGCUGGCGGCAGGCUUAACACAUGCAAGUCGAGCGGAGAUGAGGUGCUUGCACCUUAUCUUAGCGGCGGACGGGUGAGUAAUGCUUAGGAAUCUGCCUAUUAGUGGGGGACAACAUUCCGAAAGGAAUGCUAAUACCGCAUACGCCCUACGGGGGAAAGCAGGGGAUCUUCGGACCUUGCGCUAAUAGAUGAGCCUAAGUCGGAUUAGCUAGUUGGCGGGGUAAAGGCCUACCAAGGCGACGAUCUGUAGCGGGUCUGAGAGGAUGAUCCGCAACACUGGGACUGAGACACGGCCCAGACUCCUACGGGAGGCAGCAGUGGGGAAUAUUGGACAAUGGGCGGAAGCCUGAUCCAGCCAUGCCGCGUGUGUGAAGAAGGCCUUUUGGUUGUAAAGCACUUUAAGCGAGGAGGAGGCUACCUGGAUUAAUACUCUAGGAUAGUGGACGUUACUCGCAGAAUAAGCACCGGCUAACUCUGUGCCAGCAGCCGCCGUAACAC
rnacentral:rRNA from 1 species